CAGCAGAGCAGACGUCGCAGC
rnacentral:miRNA from 1 species